CCGGCGACGGAGAAAGAGAGAUAGAGAGGACUUCAGCUCAGGUGAUAUAGUCAGUUCCAGCUCCGGCAUUCGCUUCUCUCGCAAUAAGCAUCUUCCGCAUAUGGAAGUCGGAGUUGUACCCCUGAUCAGGCGGGCCUGACCUUCCUCCUGUGUCAUGGUCUCACGGACCAUGCAGCUUUGGCGCCAAAACCAACAGGGGAUGAAGAGUGUGAGCCAAUUAUGGACUUUAUAAUUGUAUAUUGCAUUCAAAGAGAUUUUUGAGCAAGGGGUUAUCCAAUGAGUUCACGCAAGUCUAUUACUUGCUUCCAUCACUACCUUCCGUCAGUACAAGUUAUAGGCUCCUAAUGGAAUUGAAGAUAUUUGACAUUUUGGGAUAAAGAAAUCAGCGGGAGCCCAAUUUAAGAUUUUAUAUGAAUUUUCGGUUGUGUAUUAUGCUUUUUCACCAAGUUCUUGAGAACAAUGAAACUACUGAAUUGUGUUGAUUGUAUUAUCUGAAAGCAUACUACUUAGCCAAUUAAUUGUGUUGAUUGUCUUUUCUAUUGCAUUGUGGCUUUAAUUUCUUGUUUCCUUUAUGAAAUAGAAAGGUGUGUGUGGAAGUUAGCUGUCCACAUGUGAGAACCAUGAAUUGGUUUCAAGAUCUUAUGGUUUUCAUAUCUGACCUAUCCCAAAUGGUUUGGGAUUGAAAAGCUUUGGUGUUGUGUGUUGUUGUUUCCUUUUCCAUGUACUAUGGACAUUCUACAAUUUCCCCCUAAUAGUCUCAUAUACUACAUGCUAUUCAAUAUAUAUUACUGUUCCACACAUUUUUAUGUAUAUUAAUAAUAUGUUUCUCAUCUUCGAAUCUUUUUCGUAGUUAGGUGCAUUUGAAGCAACAACAACCACAACGAAAAGGCACUAUAACUUGAUUGUAUUGUACCAUACUCUUAUUGCAGAUAAAAAUAAAUUAGGGAUGACAAUGGUAGGGUAUGGGUGGUUAUGACCCUCUUCUUUCCAAACUCAUACCCACAAAAACUUUCUAUACCCACUCAUUUCAUUACCCAUGGGCACAGAUUGACACCCAUGCCCAUACCCAUACCCAUCGCGUAUCCUGUACCCAUUGGAUAUCUAAUGGAUACACUAUAUGCCAUUUAUAUUUUGAAAAAGUAGAGAAAUGAGUCUAAAAUGCAAGUGAUGAUGGGUGAUCAGUAUAGCAUCGACACAACCUCCUCCGAUGGGUGGAAUAUUGGAGGUGACAAGGUAGUACAAUAAGUAGUUGGUGGAAGCCCGACACAGAGGGAGGCGGCUGUGGGAACUGGGGAUUGUUGGUAUGAGAGUUGGAUAAGAGUCUAAAUAGUCAAGAUUUCAUUAUUUCUAGGAGUCACAUAGGAUGUACGAGGAGUGGUGAUUUGUAGCCAAAAGGAGCUGAUUGUUGUAAUAGUAAUAAGUAAUAACUAAUGUUUUGGCAAGAAUUCUCGACAAAACCUCUCUAGCAUGGUCGAUACAUCAAUCUGGUUCCCCAUAUUUGUUGUAUCAGCCUCCAAAACUGUGGUCAUAGCUCCAUAUUUUGUGCUUGGGCCAUUGUUUUGGAGCACACUCCAAACCCAACCGCCAAUGCAGGAGGGAAGUCUCUCUGUUUCUCCACCCCCUCCCUUCCUCUCCAACCACAUGGCCACUUCCCAACUACCCAUGAUCGUUCCUGCCACAUUUUUUCCGCCCCUUUCAAUGAUGCAUGACAUUUCACGCCACCAAUGGAUAUAAAGAGGUCGGCACCUUCCGUCUCUAUCUACAACUUCACUUUAUAUCCUGGCCUUCUCCCUUUCCUUAUCUGAAUACUACUAUUGUUGUUCUCACCAUGCCAAUGUGGCAAAGGACAGAGUGGGUGCUAUGGCCACCCAUAGAGGAGGAGGCACAAUAAUUGGACAAGGAGGCUGUGCAGGAGGAGAUCGAUCUCGCCAAGGAGGAUGAGUAGGAUUGCCAGGACAUGCUAGAUACGCUGACUCCGAGGAUGACGCUGAGGUCGAUGAUCCCCUUCUCAAGUACGUACCAACGACUCCAACGAUAUUGGUCACUCAAUGUCAUAUGUAUGCCCAACAACGUCUUGUUUCCCGCCGGUUCCACACUGCUAGGGAGGAUUGACAUGCCUUUCACGACGGCUUCGUCGACCGUCAAACCUGAUAGGAUGAUCGUUAGCGGCGAAGAGGGAGCACGGUAUCUAGGCAGACCAUGAGGUGGCUAUAUCGGCAAAGGAGUGUCGUUUGGUUAGACUACAAGGUGACGGUGUGUUGGUGGUACAGAGUGGAGAGGCAGUGAGCCA